GCCCGGAUGGCGAAAUCGGUAGACGCAGCGGACUUAAAAUCCGCCGGGGGCAACCCCUUGCCGGUUCGAGUCCGGCUCCGGGCACCA
rnacentral:tRNA from 1 species